AUGAAUUGCUUAAGUUGGAACUGUCGAGGGGCGGGGAACCUUCGCACAGUUCGUGAGUUGGUAGCACUUGUGGGUGCUCAUUCCCCGAAAUUUGUUUUCUUGUGUGAAACUAGGCAACCAAAAGAAAAGAUGUAUCGUCUUUGUUCUCGGUUAGGUUUACAGGGUUUUGAAGGAGUUAGUAGUGAGGGUCGCAGUGGAGGUCUUGCAUUAUUCUGGCAUGAAUCUUUAAUAGUGGAGAUCAAGGAUGCUAAUAAAAGAUGGAUUGAUGCGCAUGUCCGUGUUUCAGUCUGAGAGCCUCCAUGGCGUAUAACCUUUGUUUAUGGCGAACCUCGCGUGGAAAAUAGACAUGAAGUGUGGGAUGCAAUACGUCGCUUGCACAGCCAGAGUGCCUUGCCUUGGAUGCUUGUUGGAGAUUUUAAUGAAGCCAUGUGGGACUAUGAGCAUAUGUCAGAAACUCCACGAGCGCCGGGGCAAAUGCUUAUUUUCAGAGAUGCUUUAGAAACUUGUGGACUAAUUGACUUGGGUUUUGCAGGCUACCCAUUCACUUAUGAUAAUAGACGAGGCGGCAGGGCGAAUGUCCAAGUGCGGCUAGACCGAGCAGUGGCCACGAAUUCCUGGCGUGAUAUCUUUGCAGAAGCGGCGGUGGUGCACCUCGUCUCCCCCUGCUCUGACCAUUGCCCGGUCCUGGUGAGGUGUGUACUGGACACGGAA
rnacentral:rRNA from 1 species